UCUCCCGCAGCUUCUGAAUCUUUCCCGCUCAAAGUAAACCUGUUCGGGAUUGGCUCUGAUUGGCAAGCAACAGCUCUAUGAUUGGCUACUAGGGCAGCGGAGGGGCGGAGCGUGGAAGGUAAGGAAAGAGAGCAGGCCUACCCCGUGGGAGAAGCGGUGGAGGUGGUCGGAAGAUUUGAGAAGUCGCUCAGCAACUGGCUGAUAAUCUAAACCUAUGGCUGCGCACCUUGUGCCAACAUUUCAUUUUUGGCCCUUGGGCCCUUCCCUAACUCCCAGAAUCCUUUGGAACAGCCAAGAGAAUAAUAGACGUGCCCGUUUACAGAAGAACUGCACAAGGAACUAUGGACCCAGCAAAAGGAACAGAGAGAUGCUCAGUAGCUUCUUUCUCCAAACGCGGGGCCUUCCUUCUUAAGGACGAGAGAACAUCAGAUUGAUAGCUCCACCAAACUGAGAGCGUGCUUACACUUCACAUGGUGGCUGGCUUCCGAGACGCCAAAGUGGAAGCUGUGGCGGGCCUCCUAAAACCUACACCUGAACUGUCAGGACAUCAGUUUUACUGCAUCCUAUUGAUCAAGGCAAGUCAAAGGCCACCCAGAUUCAAGGAGAGUGAAAACUAGAUGAAAGGCUCCGAAUGGAGAAGGCAUUUCUUUGCAGACUGUCCACCACAUUCCCCUCCCUGUGCUCCCCUUUGUUCCCCUGGCUCACUGAAAGGCACUGUCCUCCUCCCUGGGCUGUCAUCCUUCACCCCUGCUUCUAAUCUGUGCCCAAGUGCUGUUGUUUUUGCUUCCUAAGCACCUUUCAAAUCAUUCCCACCACUGCUACUGUCCUCUCUUACCUAGAAU